rnacentral:rRNA from 1 species
UCCCAGACUCCUACGGGAGGCAGCAGUGGGGGAUAUUGCACAAUGGGGGGAACCCUGAUGCAGCGACGCCGCGUGGGUGAAGAAGCGCCUCGGCGCGUAAAGCCCUGUCAGCAGGGAAGAAAAUGACGGUACCUGAAGAAGAAGCCCCGGCUAACUCCGUGCCAGCAGCCGCGGUAAUACGGAGGAUGCGAGCGUUAUCCGGAUUUAUUGGGUUUAAAGGGUGCGCAGGCGGAGGUGCAAGUCAGUGGUCAAAUUGCGGGGCUCAACCCCGUACUGCCGUUGAAACUGCAUCCCUUGAGUGCGCGAGAAGUAUGCGGAAUGCGUGGUGUAGCGGUGAAAUGCAUAGAUAUCACGCAGAACUCCGAUUGCGAAGGCAGCAUACCGGCGCGCAACUGACGCUCAUGCACGAAAGCGUGGGUAUCGAACAGGAUUAGAUACCCCCGUAA